rnacentral:lncRNA from 1 species
CAUACUAAAUAAAUUUUAUAGUCUCCUAAAUUAAGUUUAAAAAUCUUUUCAUUGAUUCAUUGGGUAAAUUUUCUAAGGAUGUGCACACACUUAACCACUUUAUUACAGUUGUAGCUAUAGUAAAGAGUUGAUCAGAGUAAUUUUAUAGAGUCCAUAACCAUCAAUCUUUCAGAGAUCAUGUUUACUACCAAAAACCAAUCUGAUAAAUUACAGAAUAUAAAUGGGACAAAUGAUUUUUAGCCAGAUUAUAAAUGGAAUUAGAGUAAGUUCCUCUAAAUGGCAACACAUGUAACAUGCUGAUUGUAUGGAACAUAUUUUCUACUAGUAAAACCUGUUUUUUCUUUCCUUUGCAGUCUGAAGGCAGACAGAAUUCAAGAUUUGAAGAUCUGUGCCAAAAUUAUAGUGUACUGGAUGUAGAGAGCAGUCUUCAGCCUGAGACCUAUCCCUGGGUGCUCUUGAAUGAAUGUUUCUGAUUGGAGAUUGUGACAUCAAAAUAGAAGAAAAACUUUCAGGACUCACAGAGAGCUGGAACAUCCAUGAAUAUCAAACAGAACAGGAAUUAACUGCAUGGACUGAAUUAACAGAAGACUGAAGUUAUCUUUUUGACUUUUUGCUUAAAAUGUUGCUGAUCCUUUGUUUUGUUUUUUUCAAAGAAACUUUUCUUUUGCACUAUUGACAGCUUCUAACAAUUCAGUAGACUCCUAUGAACAAAAUUUGGAGCAUAUUUGUUUCUCUCUACCUGAUUUCUCUAGAAUUUGGAAACUAUUUGUGAG